AUUGAACGCUGGCGGCAUGCUUUACACAUGCAAGUCGAACGGUAACAGGCCUUCGGGUGCUGACGAGUGGCGAACGGGUGAGUAAUGCAUCGGAACGUGCCCAAUCGUGGGGGAUAACGUAGCGAAAGUUACGCUAAUACCGCAUAAGCCCUGAGGGGGAAAGCAGGGGAUCGCAAGACCUUGCGCGAAUGGAGCGGCCGAUGUCAGAUUAGCUAGUUGGUGGGGUAAAGGCCUACCAAGGCGACGAUCUGUAGCGGGUCUAAGAGGAUGAUCCGCCACACUGGGACUGAGACACGGCCCAGACUCCUACGGGAGGCAGCAGUGGGGAAUUUUGGACAAUGGGCACAAGCCUGAUCCAGCCAUGCCGCGUGCGGGACGAAGGCCUCGGGUUGUAAACCGCUUUCAGCCGGAAAGAAAUACGCCAAGGCUAAUAUCCUUGGUGGAUGACGGUACCGGAAGAAGAAGCACCGGCUAACUACGUGCCAGCAGCCGCGGUAAAGUAGU
rnacentral:rRNA from 1 species